CAGUCGCCGCGGUAAUACGUAGGGGGCAAGCGUUAUCCGGAAUUAUUGGGCGUAAAGAGUGCGUAGGUGGUCUACUAAGCGCGAGGUGAAAGGCAAUGGCUCAACCAUUGUUAGCCUUGCGAACUGGCAGACUUGAGUGCAAGUGAGGAAAGCGGAAUUCCUAGUGUAGCGGUGAAAUGCGCAGAUAUUAGGAGGAACACCGGCGGCGAAGGCGGCUUUCUGGAUUGUAACUGACACUGAGGCACGAAAGCGUGGGUAGCAAACAGGAUUAGAUACCCCAGUAGUCCCUGUCUCUUAUACA
rnacentral:rRNA from 1 species